CAGCGUCAGAAUCUGCCUGGGCACUCCAAGCUGCUCCUGAGGCACAGGCAGGGAGCAAGCAGUUGUUCUUCCCUGGGAAGAGCUGAUGGAGAUGGCCUCACCUCUGGAGAAUGUAUUCCUGCAUUUCAGAGCCAGAGCCGAGCACCCCUGAUACGCAGCCACCCACUGCUGGAAGCCCCCCAGGAUGGGGCUCAGGCUUGCUGUUUGCUCCCCGUGUGCAGGAUGUUCAGGCCUCUUCCAGCUGUUGGGAGCCCAGGAUGCUCUAGGCUUUGCUGUAACCUUGGCAUUACCACCUCUGGAAAUCUAGCACUUG
rnacentral:lncRNA from 1 species